CAGCAGCCGCGGGAAUACAGAGGGUGCAAGCGUUAAUCGGAAUUACUGGGCGUAAAGCGCGCGUAGGUGGUUUGUUAAGUUGGAUGUGAAAGCCCCGGGCUCAACCUGGGAACUGCAUCCAAAACUGGCAAGCUAGAGUACGGUAGAGGGUGGUGGAAUUUCCUGUGUAGCGGUGAAAUGCGUAGAUAUAGGAAGGAACACCAGUGGCGAAGGCGACCACCUGGACUGAUACUGACACUGAGGUGCGAAAGCGUGGGGAGCAAACAGGAUUAGAUACCCGCGUAGUCCCUGUCUCUUAUAC
rnacentral:rRNA from 1 species